UCCCCGGUGGUGUAAUCGGUAACACACGGGGUUUUGGUCCCCGUUUUGGAGGUUCGAGUCCUCCCCGGGGAA
rnacentral:tRNA from 1 species